UUGAACGCUGGCGGCAUGCCUUACACAUGCAAGUCGAACGGUAGAGGGGCAACCCUUGAGAGUGGCGAACGGGUGAGUAAUAUAUCGGAACGUGCCCAGUCGUGGGGGAUAACGCAGCGAAAGCUGCGCUAAUACCGCAUACGAUCUAUGGAUGAAAGCGGGGGAUCGCAAGACCUCGCGCGAUUGGAGCGGCCGAUAUCAGAUUAGGUAGUUGGUGGGGUAAAAGCCCACCAAG
rnacentral:rRNA from 1 species